CAAUUCAUACAAAAUAGCAAGCUGAGGAGUCGGAACAGGAUAUCAGAAAAGUGAAUCUACAUGGAUAAUUAAGAGAGAUUCCCAUUUCACUUUAAGUUAAUCAUCAUAUAUCCCAAUCCAAUUCUUAUUGUAUUGUAACAAUUUUUUUAAUUUCUGUACUGUUUAUAUAAGCCUCCUUUAUAUUUAUUUUUUUCCGCAUGAAUUCACUCCCAACAUCACGAAACAUGUUUUAAUAUGUAUUUACUUUCUGGUUGCCACACACGACAUAGCAGUUCAUUAAAUAUUCACAUAUAAUAAUAUUAGAACCUGAAAAGGGCCACAACUGAAUAAUGAAAAAAAAAAGAUCUGUCAGACCUGUACACAAUAAUUAUGAGUAGUAAUCAGAUCAAGUCAGAAUCAUCUCCCUUUAGCGAUUGACCCAGAUCCUUAUCUGACCACAACAGAACGUUGUGAUCAGCAAGUCACUGAGAAUUUCCUCAGGGUCAAAUGACACGCAUGAUUUCAUCAUUUUACUAAUUCUGUAAAAAAAAAAAGUCAAACAAGACACAUUUCAUCAGUCUUCACGCUGAACUGCUAAAUCUACAGGCCCCCAGCUCAAUUUUUGAAAAUUUUUAGUUAGAUUCUGUUGGCCUGUAGGUCUGAAUUUUACAGGCCUGAGAGCAAUUUUACCAGCCUGGGCUGCCACUCGGCGUGAAGACUGUUUCAUUAAAUGCACACAAAUCAUUACAUUUCUUUACAACAAAUUUAGUUACUUUCCCCAAGUUUCUCAUCCCCACAUUUACAGACCACAUUAAAAACAUGAAAGAUAAAAUUUUAAAAUAAUUCUUAUAAUUGUAUGGGGUUCACUGUUG
rnacentral:lncRNA from 1 species